rnacentral:rRNA from 1 species
GUGGGGAAUAUUGGACAAUGGGGGGAACCCUGAUCCAGCCAUGCCGCGUGUGUGAAGAAGGCCUUUUGGUUGUAAAGCACUUUAAGCGAGGAGGAGGCUACCGAGAUUAAUACUCUUGGAUAGUGGACGUUACUCGCAGAAUAAGCACCGGUUAACUCUGUGCCAGCAGCCGCGGUAAUACAGAGGGUGCAAGCGUUAAUCGGAUUUACUGGGCGUAAAGCGCGCGUAGGUGGCCAAUUAAGUCAAAUGUGAAAUCCCCGAGCUUAACUUGGGAAUUGCAUUCGAUACUGGUUGGGUGGAGUAUGGGAGAGGAUGGUAGAAUUCCAGGUGUAGCGGUGAAAUGCGUAGAGAUCUGGAGGAAUACCGAUGGCGAAGGCAGCCAUCUGGCCUAAUACUGACACUGAGGUGCGAAAGCAUGGGGAGCAAACAGGAUUAGAAACCCGAGUAGUCC